rnacentral:rRNA from 1 species
UACGUAGGGUGCGAGCGUUGUCCGGAAUUAUUGGGCGUAAAGAGCUCGUAGGCGGUUUGUUGCGUCGGCUGUGAAAUCCCGAGGCUCAACCUCGGGUCUGCAGUCGAUACGAGCAAACUAGAGUGUGGUAGGGGAGACUGGAAUUCCUGGUGUAGCGGUGAAAUGCGCAGAUAUCAGGAGGAACACCGAUGGCGAAGGCAGGUCUCUGGGCCACUACUGACGCUGAGAAGCGAAAGCAUGGGGAGCGAACAGG